GGAGGGCUGUCCCUUGGACUUCAGUAGGAGAGGCUGUAGAGAAUGAAAGCAGCACUCAGAAGUGGAAACUUUGUUAAUAACUCUGCUCCAGCGAAAAUAGGUGAUUCAUUGGUUGACCAAAUAAAAAGAGUGUUAUUCAAGAAAUUCCCUUCUCUCCCUUGCUCUUUGAAGCUCCACAUGAAUGUUUUGCCUGUGUAUAUUGUCUGCCAUACAGUAUUUUGGAACGACAACAAUAAAAACUGCUGGCUGCUCUCCUCUACAUUCGGUGGCCUUGGGAACACCAAAGAUGUGGCCUUGGCAACACUUGCACAUCGAGGUCAAGAGGCCAGGAAGAGCAUCCUGCCUUCUAAAUCCUUUGAAGUUUACUCGAAAUUCUCAUCCUGAACUGGACUUUUGGACUCAACAACAAAAGUUCUGGAGGCCAGAAGUCUACAAUCAAGGUUUUGGCAGAGCUGCAUUCCUUCCAGUGACUCUCGGAAGAAUCAAUUUAUUUAUCUUUUCCAGCUUCUGUAGGUUUUCUGCAUUCCUUUUUUUUUUAUUUUUGCUCAUGGCCCCCUUCCGGCUAGCAAUUGCAACACUCUGCCCUCUACUUCUAGCAGCCAUGCAUCCCCAUUUCUAACUCUCCUGCCUCCCCCUUUCACUUAUAAGGACCCUUGUGAUUACAUUUGGCCUGCCCAGAUAAUCCAGAAAAAUCUCCCAGAUAAGGUUCCUUAAUUUAAUAACAUCUGUAAAUUCUCUUUUGCCCUGUAAGGUAACAUAUUCAUAGGUUCUGAGGAUUAAGACUUGAGCGUCUUUGGUGAUGGGGCAUUAUUUUGCCUACUACAGAAGGCUAGUUUGUCUUGAAGUUUUCUUCUAACUUGAAAAUUCCACGGGUUGAUUGGAGCGAUGUCAGCAUGAUUUGUCUCAUUUAAUCACUAGCCCUGACUGUGUACUCUCAUUGUGUCUCACUGUGCUCAAUGAAGAGACAACUUUGUGGAGUUCCAAUUCCUUCUGUGUAUCUUGACCUUUGCGCUGCUACAGGAGUCAUGUGGAGGAAUUACAAUAUUUAAUACCAAGGAUUUUGAAACCCAAGCUGUUUUUGUGAUAAACAACAGUCACUAAAGGACAUCUUUUGUCUCCUGCUCAGUCACAACUCAAACCCUGAGCUGACAAGCUUACUCUUUCCUCUUAGAUCGUGGCCAGUCUGUAUCACACGGGGCUUGGAAAGUAGUCAUAAGAGAACACACUUUCAUUACUGUGGCCUGAAAAGUGCAGGUAGGGUAUGAAAAAUCAAAGGGAUGGAACAUAGAGAUGGGCAAAGUAUGUCUGCUGGAAAUGGAGUGGGAACUGAGUGAGGAUUAUGGGAUUCUUCACCAUUUGUGCAAAUAAGCAGAGGCAGUGGAGGUCCAGAUAUUACUAAACAACAGAUAUUUAGAAAGUCACUGACUUGCAGCUUUGAAAUAAAGUCUUUGUUUUUAUAAUGCUUUAACUUUCACAAUGACUUAUUGCUUUGGCUACUAAAAGUUAGAUAGUUUUCCCUGAGCCAAACCAAAGAAUGUGGGGGUAGUGAGAGGCUGAGGGAUGCUGGCUCAGGACUGAAUAAUUGGCUGGAAGUAUUAUUCUCCCUUUUGGGUUUUUAAGCUUUCCCCCACUGGCUCAUUUUUAUUUGUAAAAAGAGUUUCUGUGGGCACUAUAAGUUGCCUACACAGCAGAAUUCCCUGCCGUCCUUCUGAACACAUCCCUAAUUGUGUGCAGGUAUCCACCCUGCUCUCUUGCAAGACAAGUGCCUCCAGGGAUGCUGCUUCUACCAUCAGCACUGGCAAAGAGAACCCGAUUGGUUUAAGUGUAAUCUCAUCAUGCUGGCUGGUGAUUGGUUCAAGAAUGGGCGUGUGGUCCUUUGUGUUUCAUUGCUGGCCAUUGAGACAUAAAGAGAGUUUGUGGGUAGCCAUGGAGACUGUUCUUAUUUGCUUUUAAGAGACGUUGAAUGUCACUGUCUUUCCCUCUAUGGAUGGAAAUAGAGAAGCAUGUAGCUCCAAAUUCCUCUAGUGACAAUUAUAUAACCAUGAGAAAACAAACCAAAACAACAUACCCUCCUAGCAUUACAAGGAGCGACAAAAAGAAGCUAAUGCUUGAUCACGUGCUGGACUGCAUGGAUCAACAAACUCUGGAACCUACUUUGUCUCUGAACUUUCUGUUAUGAAAGUCAUUCCUCAACUGUUUAUGCUAUUCCGAGUUAUGUUUUCUUACUUGCAGCUGAAAGCAUCCUAAUACCUAUGCUUCAAGUAGUCAUUGUGGCUCUAAUGUCCCCUGACUAGCUCCAAGGCUUGGCCUCCUAACUUGGGGAACCGCAGCUUUUUUCAUAAUCUCCAGCUGGUAUUUUUGGGAGUUCUAGAUGUUCUUGAAUCAACUUGGGCAGUGUUUCAGUGCUGUUCUCUUUAUUCUUAACUGUCCAAUUCCUGCAGGGCCUCCAUUGAGGCUUAGCAGCUUUAAAAAAAAAUUAGAAGGAGAGUGCUCCCUCCUUCUGUUACAUUCUCAGUCUGUAGGUAGCAGGAGUGAUCCUAAAACAGGGAUGCUUGAGUUCCAAAGUAUUAAAGAGAUAAAAAGGCCAGUACUUUUAUUUUUGUAAAAUUUAGAUACACAAUUCCCUGUUGACCUUUAGGUUCUGUAGCUAAAUUUGGCUAGACCAGUGUCCAAGAUAAAUAUAAUACAAAAUACAGGUGUAACUUUAAGUCUUCUAGCAGCUGCCUUAAAAAAGCAAAAAGAAUCAGGUAAAACUAAUUUCAAUAAUAUAUUUUAUUUACUUCAACAUGUAAAAAAUUAUUUCAAUAUGCAAUUGAUAUAAAAGCUUUUUAAGAGAUAUUUUAUGCUAGUUUUUCCAAAGCAAGUCUUCAAAAUCCCAUGCACAUUUAAUCUCAAUUUAGACUAGCUACAUUUCAAGUACUCAGUAGCCACAUGUGUCUAGUGGCUGCUGCCAUUUUGAACAGCACAGGGCUAGACUCUGCCAAAGUUCUGCCCACAGAGGUAAUUUGCUCCAAGUGGCUUUUUCCUCCUUUCUUGAACUCUGAUUUAUUUUCCCUCUAAUCCCAGAGCUGCUUUCUUUUGGUUUUUCAGAUGUGUGUCCAUAUGUUUGAACUCCAACUGUGAAUAUGGCUGGAGUUAAUGACUUCCCCCAGAAAACUUCUCAGCUCUUAUUUAAAUAAAUAAAUUUAAUUGUUUGCAAAUGGAGCUAAGUGGGUGGGAGGAGCUGUUUAUGAAUGCAAACAUAUAUUUGCUUGAGGGGAAAGGUGUUAUCCAAAUCAAAUUUCUUUUACCAGAGCAAACAAUUUCUUCCUUCGUGUUAAACCCAAUGGACACUUUCUAAUUCUUUUUUUUUUUUUAUCUGACCUUCCCAUUGACUUUGCUGAACACCAUUUUGUUCCUGAAAGUCUCUCUUCUCCUGGCUUCCAUGACACUUGCCUCUCCUAGCUCUUCUGCUUCUCUGACUGCUCCAACUUGGGGCUCCCCUUUUACUGCCCUUCCCUUAAAGGUGAUGCUCCAAUGGUUACAUCUUUGAUCUUCCUGUCUUUUGUACUGCAUAUAUUCACCAUCAAUACUUUUAUCCAUCCAUGGCUUAACUGUAAUUUACAUACAAAUAUUUCCCAAAUAUGUAUGUUCAGCCCAUAUUCAUCUUCUGACCAAACCCAUAUAAUACAUUGUUCAUGAAUCAACCCCUUUUAGAUAUCUGAAGGGUCACCAUUUGUAAAACUGAAGUCAUUACUUUUCCUCCUCUAAACUGGACUCUCUACUUUUGUUUUCUGUUUUACUAAAUGGUACCACUAACCAUUCAGUUGACCAGCCUGAAAUGGGUUGUUGUUCUAAAUUAAAUGCCUCUCUGUCUCUCACCUCCCCUAUGUAAUAAUCAGCAAGUCCUUCUGAUUAAACUUAACUACAAUCUCUUGAUUGAGUCACAUAUUCCCCUCAUUCCCACUGCUACCAUUUUGUCUUUUCUCAAUUAACCUCUGACUAGUUCCUUGCCAUCACUCUUGAUCCUUCUUUCCAGCCUCCUUAUUGCACUGAAAGGAGCUUUUCUCAAACAGAAAUUACUGGUCAAUCCCUUGUUUCUUUGCUUAAAAUUAAACUUAAAAAAAAAACUUUUAUUGUAAGUUCUGGAUACAUGCACAGAACGUGCAGUUUUCUUACAUAGAUAACCAUGUGCCAUGGUGGCUUGCUGCACCCAUCAACCCAUCAACCCUAGGUAUUAAGCCCUGCAUGCAUUAGCUGUUUAUCCUGAUGCUGUCCCUCCCUGCCUCCACAGGCCCCAGUGUGUGUUAUUCUCUUCCCUGUGAUCUGGCUUCUACCUUCCUCUCCCAUAUUUCUGCCUGCUUGUGCUCUACCUUCAACUUACAAUGAACUUGAGGUUCCUUUUUGUCUCCUGGGCCUUUGCUUGUGCUGUUCCUCUGCCUUGGACAGUCUUUCUGCCACCUUCUUUCCCUGGCUAAUUUGAUCCUAGCAGUUCUAAAAUUUUUGGUCUCAGAACUCCUUUAAACUAUAAAAAUUAUUGAGGACCCCAAAGAGUUCUUAUGAGUAGGGACAUUAUCUAUAAAUUGUUACUGUAUUUGGAAUUAAACUAAGAAAUCUUGAAAAUAAUUCUUCAUUGAUUGACUUUAAAAUACAAUACAUAAAUAAUGACAAUACCUAAAUAACAUUUUAUGGAAAUGACUAUUGACAAGACAAAACAUAUUAGUGAGAAGAGUGGCAUCAUUUUACAUUUUUGCAAAUAUCUGUAGUGUUUGGCUCAAUAAAAAACACUGGUCUCA